GCCUACGACCAUCUCACCCUGAAUGCGCCUGAUCUCGUCUGAUCUCGGAAGCUAAGCAGUGUCGAGCCUGGUUAGUUCUUGGAUGGGAGCGUGCCUGGGAAUACCAGGUGUUGUAGGCU
rnacentral:rRNA from 1 species